rnacentral:tRNA from 1 species
GGGAAUGGAUGGCGACCUGGUGGCGCCCGCGGACUUCAAAUCCGUUGUCUCGUCGUAUCAGCGGCGAGAGGUGGGUUCGAUUCCCACACUUUCCCGC